rnacentral:rRNA from 1 species
UUGAAGGGAUUGACGGAAGGUCACACAACGGAAUGGAGCCUGCGGCUUAAUUUGACUCAACGCACGAAAGCCUAUCCGGUCCGGACACAGGAAGGAUUGACAGAUUGAGAGCUCUUUCUUGAUUCUGUGGGUGGUGGUGCAUGUCCGUUCUUAGUUCGCGGAGUGAUUUGUCUGCUUAAUUGCGUUAACGAGCGAGACUCUAGCCUACUAAAUAGUUGUUGCGAUCAUCUUUGUCGCACAGUUUCUUCUUAGAGGGAGCAGCGGUUUCCAGCCGCACGAGACAGA